CGUCAGUUAUUUUCGGGAGGCAUUCCUUUAUAUUAUCUGAUCUUUAUGAUAAUUUAUUUAAUCUAGAAAUGUCAUCUCAUGAAAUUCACGUGAAUGUGAGCUAAAUUAAGCAAACCG
ensembl:ncRNA K02B2.38 ncRNA